GUAAGGAAUAUUGGGCAAUGGAGGCAACUCUGACCCAGCCAUGCCGCGUGAAGGAUGACGGCCCUCGUGGUUGUAAACUUCUUUUGUACGGGAAUAACCCUCCGAACGUGUUCGGAGCUGAAGGUACCGUAAGAAUAAGGAUCGGCUAACUCCGUGCCAGCAGCCGCGGUAAUACGGAGGAUCCAAGCGUUAUCCGGAUUUACUGGGUUUAAAGGGUGCGUAGGCGGAUUGAUAAGUCAGUGGUGAAAGCCUACAGCUUAACUGUAGAACUGCCAUUGAUACUGCCAGUCUGGAGUAUGGUUGAGGUAGCUGGAAUGUGUCAUGUAGCGGUGAAAUGCUUAGAGAUGACACAGAACACCAACGGCGAAGGCAGGUUACCAACCCAUUACUGACGCUGAGGCACGAAAGCGUGGGGAUCAAACAGGAUUAGAUACCCGUGUAGUCC
rnacentral:rRNA from 1 species